rfam:Thermoanaerobacter pseudethanolicus ATCC 33223, complete genome.
CAACCCAUACAGUGAUGUAUGGUUGAACCUUGAGAAGUCAGCAGAGGUCAUAGUACUUAUCUAGUCAUGAAUAGAUAAGGAAGGGC